AAAACUACAGGCCUUAGAGUAAGACAUAUUAAAUUUUUUGUCUUACUGGAAAUUUUACUGAAAAUUUCAAAGGAAUAAUUUUCAUACAUUUAUAUACAAAAAGUGAAGUGAGUGAAAGACUUCAAAUAUUUUUUGUCGUACUGGAUAUUUUACGGAAAAUUUCUAAGGAUUAAUCUGCAAAAUGGGUAUUUUUGAUGAUUUUCUCAACUAUGUGACUCGUCUGUUAUGCUUCUCUUCUGAUCCCGAUGGUAAUUUCGAGGGUUUCAUUGGCAUGGGCAACAAGAUCGCUUUAAGGGUUUAUGAAGUGAUAGACAGAGUGCUGAAUCGAGAGGAAAUGAGUUAUCACACCAACUUGGUGCUGGGAUUAGCAGUUGUUGCCGUGACAGUUUGCGGAAUUUCGAUUUAUUUGUUAAUGAAAUGUCAGAGAGCUCCUCUUCUGAGUAACAUAUGUCAGGGCGGUCCACCAGCAAAAAAGACUCCAUUGAGAGUGACUAGUUCAAGCACUCGUUCUGGGUCAAAUGAUCGUGACUACGAGGAGGACUAGGAGAUCUCCAUCAACGCCACCACCAAAGCCACCACACCAAAGCCACAAAUGAACCAUCAAUUCCAUCAUCUGGGGGGGGCUGCUAAUCCUUCCAGGAUACACAAGCGUAAUACUCAAAAAGAAGUCAACAUUAACCAGGUGGAACACACACACGGAGCCCCUGAAACUUCUCAGCCAUAUAUCCCCGAGUUUUAAUUAUUUUAAUGUUUGUUAUUUCUAGAAACCUUUCUUGUUUGUUUUAUUGUACUUUCCGUCAUCCGCCCUUCCCUAAUUGCAAAAUUCUGAAUGUUAACAUUUCACAAAUAGCUGGUUACAAAUUGUAUAAUUCAAUCAUUCGACCAACAACUAUGAUAUUGUCAUCUAUUGUACUUUUUAAAAUGGGAAGCAAAGCAAGACUUUUAUUUUGCCCGCAAUGUGAUAUCAUUGGUUAAAACUCGUAUGAAAUGGAACCUAAAACCGAGUGCGAUCCCAAAACCCACAACCGAGAGGACACGUUCCUGCCUUCAUCAUGUUCAAUGGCCGCUCAAUAGACUCUCCUCGUAUCUGCUGUUGUAAUUUGCUGGCCCUGCCAGCUGUCGCUGCGGUUGCCCGCCUAAUGGCUGUCGAGAAGGGGCGGAAGGGGGGCCAAAGGACCCCCAUUUCAGCAGCCCCCUCCCCCCUUUUCACAGCCAUGGCCACAGUCAUAUGGUGCAGACGCCCCGGCAUAGAGAGAUACAUCCCCAUGGCCUGGGCGACUUUGGAUUUCAUUAAACGCAAAUUUAUGCCUUUACUUGAAUGUCAAAUAUUGCAAAUGUCAAACGAUGAGGCGGCCAGUGAAGGAGCGUGGGGAUAUGGAAUAAAACACUGGGAGAAAAUCGAUCAUCAAACAUACAUACAUACAUACAUAAAAAUUAUUAUACAUGUAAUAAUAAGAAAAUGGCAUAGUUAAAUCACUCAAAGUAUGUACGUUAACGCCCAACAA